rnacentral:rRNA from 1 species
AUUGAACGCUGGCGGCAUGCCUUACACAUGCAAGUCGAACGGUAACAGGUCUUCGGAUGCUGACGAGUGGCGAACGGGUGAGUAAUACAUCUGAACGUGCCCGAUCGUGGGGGAUAACGGAGCGAAAGCUUUGCUAAUACCGCAUACGAUCUACGGAUGAAAGCAGGGGACCGCACGGCCUUGCGCGGACUGUGCGGCCGAUGGCAGAUUAGGUAGUUGGUGGGAUAAAAGCUUACCAAGCCCACGAUCUGUAGCUGGUCUGAGAGGACGACCAGCCACACUGGGACUGAGACACGGCCAAGACUCCUACGGGAGGCAGCAGUGGGGAAUUUUGGACAAUGGGAGAAAGCCUGAUCCAGCAAUGCCGCGUGAAGGAUGAAGGACUUCGGGUUGUAAACUGCUUUUGUAAGGAACGAAAAGAAUCUUAAUAAAAAAGAGGGUCCAUGACGGUACCGUAAGAAUAAGCACCGGCUAACUACGUG